UUAUUCCUCGCAGCCGAAGAGUGAGUGGACUUGUUUGCAAAAAGCCGCUUUCGUGAAAGAGAUGGACAUAAAGCCAAGAAUUGAUCAGGUAUUGUUGCGGAAAGGGUUGUAGUGGAGACGAACGAGAUUCGAAGAAGAUUUUGGCAUUCUCGCAGUUGCCGCCAACAAGAAUUCUGCACAAUUCGGGACGAUGCAUUACUCUCCAUGCAGAUUCGUUGGUUCUAUGGGGGUCGACUUGACCUAACACUCCCCGCAAACCUCGACGUCUCGGAUUAGCUUUGUCCUGUCCGCAGUUUAGUUUCGCAACCUUCCCUAGUUGUGUCACAUUGCGUGACCUGCCUGUUUAUGUUUCGGCGGUGGCUGAACUGAAUGGAGUUCGCUUUUUCUUGAAAGACACAACCCCUUUAGGUUCAGGGAUAUAGUGCUCCCAUCGUCGAAGCCAACACUUGCGAUGGCGGGAACGACGAUCAGUUGGCGGCGACAUUCAUUCGAAGAAGAAGAAUGAAACUCGCAUGCACAUGCGACUGCAUUAUUGUCAUUUUUUGUUCAAUAUUUUUGAUAAGUUGGUUUUAAAAUGUAGAUUUUAAUGACAUAUAACUAUUUACAUAUGUAUGUAU
rnacentral:lncRNA from 1 species